GACGAACGCUGGCGGCGUGCUUAACACAUGCAAGUCGAACGGAAAGGCCCGGCUUUUGUGGGUUGCUCGAUAGGCGAACGGGUGAGUAACACGUGAGUAACCUGCACUUGACUUUGGGAUAACUUCAGGAAACUGGGGCUAUUACCCGAUAGGAUCUCCUGCUGCAUGUUGGGGGUUGGAAAGUUUCGGCGGUUCGGUAUGGACUCGCGGCUUAUCAGCUUGUUGGUGGGGUAGUGGCUUACCAAGGCUUUGACGGGUAGCCGGCCUGAGAGGUUGACCGGCCACAUUGGGACUGAGAUAGGGACCAGACUCCUACUGGAGGCAGCAGUGGGGAAUAUUGCACAAUGGGCGGAAGCCUGAUGCAGCAGCGCCGCGUGCGUGAUGACGGCCUUCGGGUUGUAAACCGAUUUCGCCUGUGACGAAGCGUGAGUGACGGUAAUGGGUAAAGAAGCACCGGCUAACUACGUG
rnacentral:rRNA from 1 species